CUUCAUACCAGACAUGUCGCUAGAGAAAGGCGUUGCCAGGGGAAGUAAAUGCUGUGGUUAUAACAAUGUUCAGCUCCAGAUUGUUCUAGCUUGAGAGGCCUGGGACACAAUUGUCCUCAGUCCCUGGCCUCUCCAAACAUGCCAAGGGAGACCUAUCAUCCCCAUCAGACGGUCCCAGUUCCAACUCCUACUCCUACUACUCUGAACCAGGCUCCGAUGGGACCAUGACAAGAUACAUGUAUGCAGAACUCUUCUGGAAAGCACUUCAGAUAUCUGAACUUCAACGAACUUCAAAGGGCAAAAUGGAACAUGGAUUGACACUGUUUUUGCAACCCAAUCUCUCCAUUCCAUUCCAUUCAUUUUUCACCCAUCUAUCCAUCAACAUGUAUAGUUCUAUAAACACUGGAGUUCCUCCAAGCAUGCCAACGUGUGGGGUGCUAUCUUCAAGAUCCAUAUUUAGUGGCAGAAGGAAGUGAGAACCAUGGCAGCAUGGAGCAUUUCCUUUAAGAAUAUUCCAUUUUUCAUUCCAUUCUUGAUUUUCUAAACCUUCCUCCAUUCAGCAGUCAGUAGCAGUACACUCAUUACUCCAGGGGUGUCAAUCUGCAGGCCCACGGAUCGGAUGCAUCAUACUGAAACAGUGCCCACCCCAUUGUCAGCAAUGGAGAAAAAGUUUCAAUAUGUCGCGACACAUCAUGUGACGUUGCGAGUUUGACACUCCUGCACUACUCCCUAAACUGUCUUUUUUCACUUUUGUUUCUUUAAAACCUCUGCACGGUUUGUUGUUUUCCUAUGCUUGCUGAUAUUUGUCUUUUCUUCCUAACUGAUGGAGUUUUUGCUAAGUAAUAUCAGCACUGAGAUAAUCUAGGUUGCUAUUACAGUAAUACACAUGGUGUUUUUUCUAAACAGUGACUGUAAUGAAAAAAGAGUGGGAAAAAUAAAUAAAAGUAAAGUUUUUUUAAAAAAAAUAUAGCUGUAUUUAUAAUAGGCAUUCCCAUGUAGUGCCAUUUUUUAAAAUCACAGUCAGCCCUAAAUACAAGAGAAGCGAGCUAAGGUAAGGAGAUUUUAAAAGAUAUCAAUUGUCAAGAUGUAAUAGUCAGGAUUUAUAUUUGUAAGGGAAAUAAAUUAGUUACUAGAAUAAAAGUUUUGAAUUAUAACAUAGAAGAUGGAUUCAGAGGAUAAAAGUUAUUUUAUUAAGUAAGCGAUAAAUAUGAUUGUGGAAUAAACUAAGAAUGGAUUUAAAUAAAUAUAAGUGUAUUUUAGAAAUGAUAACUAUUUUGUAAUGAACUAAGGGAACCAUGGGCUAUCCGAAAUCUAAAUACUAUGGACAUUAAGGCAACAGGAAUACUGUAAUUGAAAUCAGAUAAAAGUUAAAAACAGGAUUUGAAGGCAUAUAAAUCAAAAGUUGUCGAUAAAUGCUUCAAAUGAUUGAGUUAUAACUAGCAAUGUAUUAAUCUGAAAUUUGGUAUAAUAACUAAGGGAAACAGAGAGGAAAUUUUUGAUGAUGUGAACUGACAUAUAUAUGGAAAAACGUGUCAUUGGACUAUGUAUUACCCAACCACCAAGUUUCUUCCUUAAUACGUAAAGAUUUGUUAAAAUGGAAAAUUAAUAAAACUUGUUUAAAAAAAAGA